GAUGAACGCUAGCUACAGGCUUAACACAUGCAAGUCGAGGGGAAACGAUAGAGAAAGCUUGCUUUUGAUGGGCGUCGACCGGCGCACGGGUGAGUAACGCGUAUCCAACCUGCCCAUCACUUGGGGAUAACCUUGCGAAAGUAAGACUAAUACCCGAUGAUAUCCCACGAAGGCAUCCGAAUGGGAUUAAAGAUUUAUCGGUGAUGGAUGGGGAUGCGUCUGAUUAGCUUGUUGGCGGGUAACGGCCCACCAAGGCGACGAUCAGUAGGGGUUCUGAGAGGAAGGGUCCCCCCCAAGAUUGGAACUGAGACACGGUCCAAACUCCCUACGGGAGGCAGCAGUGAGGAAU
rnacentral:rRNA from 1 species